rnacentral:rRNA from 1 species
AUGUGUUUUUUCGACCUAUGCCAGAACUGGUUGUCUAGCUAUACUGGCAAAGAUAGAGUAGUUGUUUUAUUGGGUACUGCUGCUCUCUUGUGGUCUAUAUGGAAAACAAGGAACAAAUCCUGUUUUCAAAGUGUUAUGCCUAGAGAUCCUACUGACAUUAUCUUUCUUGUUUGUUCCCUAAUUGACUCAUGGAAAAAUUUGCAGAAAAGAGGGAUGCAAAGCAUGCUUCAUCAGGUGUCUAGGCGUAUCGUGAGGGUGACUCGUGAUAUCUUCAGAGGAGGGCAUGGUUUGGCGCCUCAUGUGAGAAGGAUUUUGUGA